UGGGGCAGCGAGGCCGGGCCGGGUUGAGCUGAGGAGUCGCAUCCAAGAUGGCGCCGUGCGGACGUGUCCGGGCCCGGAGUCGCGGGCCGGGCCCUUUCCUCCUGCUGCUGCUGCUGGCGGCUCUCGGGCCGGGCCGGGCGCAGCAGGGCGGCGCGGCCGGGGGCUUGUUCGGCCAACAGCAGCCGCAGCAGCCGGCGGGGGCGGGCUUGGGGCCCCAGCAAGCGGUACAGCAGCAGCAGCAGCCGCAGCCGCCUCAGCCGGGGCUGGUGGUCGGAGGUGCCCCGGCCGGGGGCGGAGGCGGAGGCGGCCGGGGGCCUCGCGGGGGCUCUUCGGCGGGCGGAGGUGGCUGGAAGCUGGCGGACGAGCCGGUCUGCCGCGAAGACGUGACCCGCGUCUGCCCCAAGCACAGCUGGGUCAACAACCUGGCCGUCCUCGAGUGCCUGCAGGACGUGCGGGAGCCGGACAAUGAAAUUUCAUCAGACUGCAACCACCUGUUGUGGAACUACAAGUUGAACCUCACUACAGAUCCAAAAUUCGAAUCGGUGGCUAGAGAAGUUUGCAAAUCCACCAUAUCAGAGAUCAAAGAAUGUGCUGAUGAGCCUAUUGGAAAAGGUUACUUGGUGUCCUGCUUGGUAGAUCACAGAGGAAACAUCACCGAGUACCAGUGUCACCAGUACAUCACCAAAAUGACAGCCAUAAUUUUCAGUGAUUUCCGCCUGAUUUGUGGCUUCAUGGAUCUCUGCAGGGCUGAUAUUAACCUCCUGAAGUGUGGCAGCAUUCGACCCGGAGAAAAGGAUGCCCAUUCUCAAGGAGAGGUGGUGGCCUGCCUGGAGAAAGGCCUGGUGAAGGAGGCGGAAGAGAAUGAGCCCCGAAUAAAGGUCGCGGAGCAGUGCAAGAAGGCGAUUCUGCGUGUGGCUGAGCUCUCCUCUGAUGACUUCCAUUUGGACCGGCACCUCUAUUUUGCCUGCCGGGAUGAUCGGGAACGUUUCUGUGAAAACACUCAGGCUGGGGAAGGCAGGGUGUACAAGUGUCUCUUUAACCACAAGUUUGAAGAUGCUAUGAGUGAAAAGUGUCGUGAUGCAUUGACAACCCGACAAAAACUGAUUGCUCAGGAUUACAAAGUCAGUUAUUCCUUGGCAAAGUCCUGCAAAAGUGACCUGAAGAAGUACCGUUGUAAUGUAGAGAACCUUCCUCGCUCCCGGGAGGCGCGACUCUCCUACCUCCUCAUGUGUUUGGAAUCUGCUGUGCACAGAGGUCGGCAGGUGAGCAGUGAGUGCCAGGGCGAAAUGUUGGAUUACCGGCGCAUGUUGAUGGAGGAUUUCUCGCUGAGCCCGGAGAUCAUCCUUGGUUGCCGCACUGAGAUUGAGCACCACUGCUCGGGGCUGCACCGGAAGGGCCGCACACUUCACUGCCUGAUGAAAGUUGUGCGAGGAGAGAAGGGGAGCUUGGGCGUCAACUGUCAGCAAUCGCUUCAAACGCUGAUCCAGGAGGCGGACCCUGGCGCCGAUUACCGCAUUGACAGAGCUUUGAAUGAAGCCUGUGAAUCAGUGAUACAGACGGCCUGCAAACACAUCCGUGCUGGAGACCCCAUGAUUCUCUCUUGCCUUAUGGAGCACUUGUACACUGAGAAGAUGGUGGAAGACUGUGAGCACAGGCUCCUGGAGCUCCAGUACUUUAUCUCGCGGGACUGGAAGCUGGAUCCUGUCCUCUACCGCAAGUGCCAGGGAGAUGCAUCUCGACUUUGCCACACACACAGCUGGAAUGAGACAAGUGAGAUGAUUCCCCCUGGGGCUGUCUUCUCCUGCCUGUACAGACACGCCUAUCGCACAGAGGAACAGGGAAGGAGGCUGUCCCGAGAAUGUAGAGCAGAAGUACAACGGAUUCUGCACCAGCGAGCGUUGGAUGUGAAACUGGAUCCAGCUCUUCAGGACAAGUGCAUGAUAGAUCUGGGGAAAUGGUGCAGUGAGAAAACAGAGAAUGGUGGACAGGAACUUGAAUGUCUACAGGACCAUCUGGAUGACUUGGUGAUUGACUGCAGAGACAUAGUUGGAAACCUCACAGAGCUGGAAUCUGAGGAUAUCCAGAUAGAGGCCUUACUGAUGCGAGCAUGUGAGCCAAUCAUCCAGACCUUCUGCCACGAAGUAGCAGAUAACCAGAUUGACUCAGGAGACCUCAUGGAGUGCCUCAUUCAGAACAAACACCAGAAGGAGAUGAAUGAGAAGUGUGCAAUUGGUGUCACACACUUCCAGCUGCUCCAGAUGAAGGAUUUCAGAUUCUCUUACAAAUUUAAAAUGGCCUGCAAAGAAGAUGUACUGAAGCUGUGUCCGAACAUCAAGAAAAAGGUGGAUGUGGUGAUCUGCCUGAGUACCACAGUGCGCAACGACACGCUGCAGGACGCAAAGGAGCACCGGGUGUCUGUGAAGUGCCGGAAGCAGCUGCGGGUCGAGGAGCUGGAAAUGUCUGAGGACAUCCGUCUGGAACCAGACCUUUAUGAAGCAUGCAAAACUGACAUCAAGAACUACUGCCCAAAUAUUCCCUAUGGCAAUGCGCAGAUUAUUGAGUGUCUGAAGGAAAACAAGAAACAACUGAACACCCGCUGCCAUCAGAAGGUCUUCAAACUCCAGGAGACAGAGAUGAUGGAUCCAGAACUGGAUUACACACUCAUGCGUGUCUGUAAACAGAUGAUCAAGAGAUUCUGCCCAGAAGCAGAUGCAAAGAACAUGUUGCAGUGUUUGAAGCAGAACAAGAACAGUGAGGUGAUGGAUCCCAAGUGCAAGCAAAUGAUCACCAAGCGCCAAAUUACACAGAACACAGAUUAUCGCUUGAAUCCGGUGCUCAGGAAGGCCUGCAAAGCGGACAUCCCUAAAUUCUGCCAGAGCAUUCUGAGCAAAGCCAAGGAUGACUCGGAGCUGGAAGGGCAGGUCAUAUCCUGCCUGAAGCUGAAAUAUGCAGACCAGCGUCUCUCUUCAGACUGCGAAGAUCAGAUCCGAGUGAUUAUUGAGGAGUCGGCUCUUGACUACCGGUUAGAUCCUCAGUUGCAGAUGCACUGCUCAGAUGAGAUUUCUAGCUUGUGUGCAGAGGAAGCGGCAGCCCAGGAGCAGACAGGGCAAGUGGAAGAGUGUCUCAAAGUCAAUCUGCUAAAAAUCAAAGCAGACAUGUGCAAAAAGGAGGUGCUGAACAUGUUGAAAGAGAGUAAAGCAGACAUCUUUGUGGACCCUGUCCUUCACACGGCCUGUGCCCUUGACAUCAAGCACCACUGUGCAGCCAUCCCUCCUGGACGAGGGCGACAGAUGUCCUGCCUGAUGGAGGCCCUGGAGGAUAAGCGUGUGCGGUUACAGCCAGAGUGUAAGAAGCGCCUCAACGACCGGAUUGAAAUGUGGAGCUAUGCCGCCAAGGUUGCUCCAGCAGAAGGCUUUUCUGAUCUUGCCAUGCAAGUGAUGACUUCUCCAUCCAAGAACUACAUCCUUUCAGUGAUCAGUGCGGGCAUCUGUGUCCUGUUCCUGAUCGGCCUGAUGUGUGGGCGUAUCACUAAGCGAGUGACACGAGAGCUGAAGGACAGACUUGACAACCUGCAGCUCAAGAGGUUUUUAAACUCCUGGCGUGCAAUGUUGCUACUGAAGAGAGAGGCCAGGAGGAGAUAGUGCGAAAUAGAUCCCGAGUGAUUUGCUGCCUGAGAAGAGACAAAACAAACAAACCCCAAGCAGUUGUGACAAAUUGACCCACACUGGCAUGUGUGGGGUUGAGGGAAGCAAGAUGCAUGCAUGGAGUUACUCGGGAUGACAUAGAGGGGGUUAUGUUCGAUGUCCCUCCUGCAGCUUUGAAAUCCAGCCCAACGGAGAAAGAGUAAAUGGUAGAUUAUACAGCAAAUGUUGACUACGUCCUUUUAAAAAUGUAACAUUAACAAGGGUGGGGGCUUUUUUUUUUGUAAAUUGUUUUUCCUUUCUAUGUACAAAAUCUUGGCCAUUCUUUGUUUUUACAUGUUCAUGCUGUGUAAUUUUGAAUUGUUAACUGAAAUACUGAACAUAAUGUGCAUUUUUUUCUGUACAGAUGAAAUGGGAGAAUUUAAUAAAAAAGAGUCUGCAGGUUUCUA